rnacentral:rRNA from 1 species
UACGAAGGGGGCUAGCGUUGCUCGGAAUGACUGGGCGUAAAGGGCGCGUAGGCGGUUUGUUAAGUCAGGGGUGAAAUCCUGGAGCUCAACUCCAGAACUGCCUUUGAUACUGGCGAGCUUGAGUUCGGGAGAGGUGAGUGGAACUGCGAGUGUAGAGGUGAAAUUCGUAGAUAUUCGCAAGAACACCAGUGGCGAAGGCGGCUCACUGGCCCGAUACUGACGCUGAGGUGCGAAAGCGUGGGGAGCAAACAGG